rnacentral:rRNA from 1 species
AACGCAGCGAAAUGCGAUACGUAAUGCGAAUUGCAAGACCUCGUGAAUCAUCAAGAUUUUGAACGCACAUUGCGCUUUCGGGUAUUCCCGGUAGCAUGCUUGUCUGAGUGUCUGUGGAUCCCACUCAGCGCUGGCUUCGCGCUGGCUGCUGGUCGGCCGUGACUGAACUUGU